UGGGGAGUUUUUCGCAAUGGGGGAAACCCUGACGAAGCAACGCCGCGUGGAGGAUGAAGGCCUUCGGGUCGUAAACUCCUGUCGACCGGGACGAACGUAGUCCGACCCAAUACGUCGGGCUAUCGACUGUACCGGUAGAGGAAGCCACGGCUAACUCUGUGCCAGCAGCCGCGGUAAUACAGAGGUGGCAAGCGUUGUUCGGAAUUACUGGGCGUAAAGGGCGCGUAGGCGGUUCGUUAAGUCCUGUGUGAAAUCCCCCGGCUCAACUGGGGAAUGGCACAGGAAACUAGCGGGCUUGAGUUCGGGAGAGGGAAGCGGAAUUCCGGGUGUAGCGGUGAAAUGCGUAGAUAUCCGGAGGAACACCGGUGGCGAAGGCGGCUUCCUGGACCGACACUGACGCUGAGGCGCGAAAGCUAGGGGAGCAAACGGG
rnacentral:rRNA from 1 species